AGAUGUUAAAAGCAAGAGACAUGGGAGAGCAUCAUUCCUUUGAGAUUUAAUAACUCAAACCAACUUUGGAGUUGUCUGAUUUGGAGAGUCAUUAUUCUUGGUCUUCCCUCUUAAAGGCCACUGAUGAAGAACAGGCGGUGACUGGGAUGAAUCCUGGUCAGAGAGGAGAAUCUUCUUUCCCCUAAACUGAUGCAGCGGUGGUUUUAAAGGAGGACGCUGCCCUGGAUGAUGUAGAAGAUGUCACAUGCUGUGCUGAUGGGGUUUCUUCAUGAUUACAUCAGUUAUGCUAAAGAGAUCAUGAAAAUUGACCGUGAUGCAUGAUCUGUAUUCAUGGACUAUGAAACAGACUGUAAGUGUAUAAUUUGUUAAAAAAAAAAAGUUAAAUGCUUUUUCUGUGUUGUUUAGUUGAAGAGUUUACACUCUGUCAUUCAUACACCUGCUCACAUUCUUUCUCACACACACACACACACAUGCGUCUGUUAAAUGUUGUAAUAUCAAAGUUAGUGUUGUGAUUUAUUUGUGUACUGUCAUGCCAGAAUAGUUGGAAAAAAACCUAACUAAUUGUACAUUUAUUGUAUAAGUGUUUUCAUAUAUUUUUAUACAAUAUAUACAAUUGAACAAAGUCCAAUUUGAUCUUAAGUUAUAUUCAUCAAAUGUUCAAUGCUUUAUGAACUCUGUAGCUGUUAAUGCCAUCCUUUUCUGCAUUUCUUCUAACAUGUUACUUUUUGACUUUUCUCUUGUUUUUAAUAAAUAUUUUCCUUUUGAUAAUUAUUAUUUGUGUGUAAAAGUGAUAUUUAAAAUGAACAACAUUUGUAGGUUUAAUGCCUAGCUCAAUUUGGGUUAAUUUUAACGUAGAAAUGCAUUGU